GGGGUUGUGGCUCUGUGGUAGAGCACUCGCCUUGCACAUGAGAGACCCUGAGUUCGAGCCUCAGUACCA
rnacentral:tRNA from 1 species